GACAUAGCUCAGUGGUAGAGUGUUUGCCUAACAAGCAUAAAGCCCUGGGUUCAAUCCCCAGCACUGUCA
rnacentral:tRNA from 1 species